GCAAAGAGUUAAUAGCAGAGCCACAUUACUUCUCUCUCUUCCCUCACUAAGUCAAAAGCUAGCUCAAAAAUGGUGGGACGCCUACUUAGACCCUGCAAGAACUACGAUACGACGGUGAGAAAGGGCACUUGGAGUGCAGAAGAAGAUCAGAAACUCAUUGCUUAUAUCAGGAGAUAUGGCAUUUGGAACUGGACUCACGUGCCCAAACCUGCUGGUUUGGCAAGAACUGGGAAAAGUUGUAGGCUUCGGUGGAUGAACUAUCUGAGGCCUAACAUCAGGCAUGGAAACAUCAACAAAGAAGAGGAGGAUCUGAUUAUCAAGCUUCACCGACUUCUCGGAAAUAAAUGGGCGGCAAUAGCAGCUAGACUUCCUGGACGGACUGAUAAUGAAAUAAAGAAUUAUUGGAACACUCGCUUGAAGAAACGCGUCAACAACAGGAUCAAGUUGCGAGUUCCGACUGCAUGUGAUAUUAAAGUUAAGCCCGAUCGUAAUAAGAGUUCAUCCCAUCCACAUGCGUCUCAUCCCACCAUUGAUACUCCGAAAUUAGAACCCAGGAUUGGAUCUCAAACUGAAAUUCCAACAGUGAGUGCUAAUAGCUUCUGCACCUCCUAUGGAGUUCACCGUGAUGACAAAACCUCGGAAAAUAGCUGGUAUCCACCAUGCAGUGUGAUUGAAGAAGAAGAAAGCUUGUGGGAACAAUUUCCUGCUCUGAGAGAUCUUGAAAUUGUAGAGAAUUUUGGUGGCAUGGACAUGCAUUUGGGGGCUACGGCCCCUGCCCUUGUGUGCAUGCAGCAGGAGCAAGUGUACCACAGCAGUUCCUGUGCAGAUUUCAUCAUGGAUUUAUGGGGAAACUGAUGAUCUUUGAAGGCACUUGCACGCAGAUGAAGAGGUGCCAUCUGAUUUACUUGUAAUUUCCUGUUAAGGGUCGUGGUUCAUUCUAAGAUUAAUCGUGUUCAGUGGAGAAAUGAUGAACUUAUAAUUACAAAUCCAUGCAUGUUCUUUUACAAAGAUGGCAUGUUGUGAGAUGAUCAAUCUGCGAUCUCAGUAGCCAUUCAUUAGCUAGUUGGAUUGGCAAAGGUAUAGCCAUUGAAAAGGUUUGAAUGGCUUUCCCUUCAAAUUACAUCUGAAGAUUUCUUUCCAACAUACAUUGCUUCAGCAAGCUUAAACGUGGUGUUCAGUCUGAUCCUCAGUGCCGCUACUUAUUUACCUCGCAACACAAUCAAACUCUCACUACAGAUGCAUGUCCUAUUUUGAAGUAGUUUCCAGGAAAAAAAUUGCCACAUCAUCUUUCAAACAUUGCUCUAAAUUAGGAGGAUCUCAUAUUUUCUGUGCAGUUUUAGGGAAAAGAUUGGUGAAUUUAACCAAAAUGCGCUUGGCUAAAGGAUCUUAAACGUCAUUCCCUAAGUUUGGAGUGAGAAGGUGAACCACAAUGAGUGACUAGAUGCUUUUUUCUCCGUCAAAUUGCCAAUGACAGAUGACAGUUACACUGAUCCAGGAACACAUGAAUUUGUGGAGCUCUUGCGAAUGAUCAUUAAUUCACAAUUUUACGUCAGUUAAACAGGCUGCAGAAGGAUCUUAUGAGCUGUGUAUUGCUUUUCAUUUACGAAUGCCAUCAUCCUUCUCAAGGUAUAGUUAUUGCAAUGCUGCAUUUUGUUCAGGAAUUCGGUGUUUAUGGAGGUUAUCAAGGUGGUGAGGUAAUAUUAGUCAACAUUUCUGAGUUGUUUUGAGGGUA